rnacentral:pre_miRNA from 15 species
CGUGGCCCGAGGACUGUGUGCAGCAGGAAGGGGGGCCGUUACACUGUCAGAGAGUGAGUAGCAGGUCUCACAGUGAACCGGUCUCUUUCCCUGCUGUGGCCGCUCCUGCCCGACUGGA